rnacentral:rRNA from 1 species
UACGGAGGGUGCAAGCGUUAUCCGGAUUCACUGGGUUUAAAGGGUGCGUAGGCGGCCUGGUAAGUCUGGCGUGAAAGCCCAGGGCUCAGCCCUGGAAGUGCGCUAGAAACUGCGAGGCUCGAGUGCCGGAGGGGAGAGUGGAAUUCCUGGUGUAGCGGUGAAAUGCGCAGAUAUCAGGAGGAACACCAGCGGCGAAGGCGCCGCUCUGGGCCGUAACUGACGCUGAGGAGCGAAAGCAUGGGUAGCAAACAGG